GUGCGAACGAGGAAAAUGCAAUUGCACUCAAACCGAGCAUAGAUUUUAGUUGUUAGGAAAACUUGCUGACAAAUUGUGGCCCAGGCUAACGGGGGAAACGUCAACACCUUAAAUCCCGCCACAGUCUGUGAGGCGUCUGUGGCAUAAAGGAGGAGAACGACGGCGACGGCGACGGCGACGACGAUGACGGUGAAUGUUGACGACUUUUGCCAUUGAGACGGCCAAGUUUUUUAUGGCAAUUUUCGCCAGAGCUAGAGCCAGAGCCAGACACUUGAAGUGGUUGUCCUUGUUGUAGUUGUUUGCCUUGUUGCAGUUGUUGUUGUUGUUAGUUGCAUGAAUAUGAAAAUUGUAGCAUAAAUUGCAUAACCAAGUUACAAGUUCUUUUCACCCACACUUUUCCGCAUAGGCCUGGGCCUGAGCCUGGGCCCUGUGCCUCCGCCUGUAAAAUUAAGUGGAAAAGUUUCUUGUUUAAAAAUAAUAUCAAAAAUGGUUUUAAAAAAAGACUACGCUGAGCUUCUUCAACUUAUGAGUAAACUG
rnacentral:lncRNA from 1 species